AUUAUACCGUGAAACUGCGAAUGGCUCAUUAAAUCAGUUAUCGUUUAUUUGAUAGUACCUUACCACUUGGAUAACCGUGGUAAUUCUAGAGCUAAUACAUGCUAAAAACCCCGACUUCGGAAGGGGUGUGUUUAUUAGAUAAAAAACCAAUGCCCUUCGGGGCUCUUUGGUGAUUCAUGAUAACCUAACGGAUCGCAUGGCCUUGCGCCGGCGACGGUUCAUUCAAAUUUCUGCCCUAUCAACUUUCGAUGGUAAGGUAUUGGCUUACCAUGGUUUCAACGGGUAACGGGGAAUUAGGGUUCGAUUCCGGAGAGGGAGCCUGAGAAACGGCUACCACAUCCAAGGAAGGCAGCAGGCGCGCAAAUUACCCAAUCCCGACACGGGGAGGUAGUGACAAUAAAUACUGAUACAGGGCUCUUUUGGGUCUUGUAAUUGGAAUGAGUACAAUUUAAACCCCUUAACGAGGAACAAUUGGAGGGCAAGUCUGGUGCCAGCAGCCGCGGUAAUUCCAGCUCCAAUAGCGUAUAUUAAAGUUGUUGCAGUUAAAAAGCUCGUAGUUGAAACUUGGGUCUGGCUAGCGGGUCCGCCUCACCGCGUGCACUUGUCCGGCUGGACCUUUCCUUCUGGAGAACCUCAUGCCCUUCACUGGGUGUGUUGGGGAACCAGGACUUUUACUUUGAAAAAAUUAGAGUGUUCAAAGCAGGCCUUUGCUCGAAUACGUUAGCAUGGAAUAAUAGAAUAGGACGUGCGGUCCUAUUUUGUUGGUUUCUAGGAUCGCCGUAAUGAUUAAUAGGGAUAGUCGGGGGCAUCAGUAUUCAAUUGUCAGAGGUGAAAUUCUUGGAUUUAUUGAAGACUAACUACUGCGAAAGCAUUUGCCAAGGAUGUUUUCAUUAAUCAGUGAACGAAAGUUAGGGGAUCGAAGACGAUCAGAUACCGUCGUAGUCUUAACCGUAAACUAUGCCGACUAGGGAUCGGGCGAUGUUUCUAUCUUGACUCGCUCGGCACCUUACGAGAAAUCAAAGUUUU
rnacentral:rRNA from 5 species